AGAGAACUCAUUAAGACCUUGAACAUCAUGCUUCACCUAGUGAGAGAACGUGGACUUCUAGUUAGAAGAACUUGCAUUCUUCCACUGCAGUGCAAGAAAACACCUAGAUGGGGUUGUCAAGUCUCAUCCAUCAUCAAAAAUCAAGUCAGAAAUCUGAAUGAGAAUCUCUAGGCACUUCCAGUAUGAAUAUGAAUCUCUAAGGGAUCCAGAACCCCAAGAGAGGUCAUCUAGCACACAUGAAUAAGAAGAGGACCAAAGAUGGAAUCAGUAUCGUCAUCACUUCUACAGGCAAUCACCAAUUUAAAUGGUCUCACUUAGCAUCACUAAUAAGGUACAACCUGACAUUAUAUACCUCCUGAUGUAAUAUAGUAUAAAAGAUGUAAAUAUAUAUGUAAUACAAAAGAUGUAAAUAUAUAUAUUAUAUAUAUAUAUAUAUAAAAUAUGCA
rnacentral:lncRNA from 12 species